UCGGAACGACUGAGACAGGUGCUGCAUGGCUGUCGUCAGCUCGUGUUGUGAGAUGUUGGUUAGUCCGCAACGAGCGCAACCCUUAUCCUUAGUUGCCAGCGCGUAAUGGUGGGGAACUCUGGGGAGACUGCCGGUGAUAAACCGGAGGAAGGUGGGGACGACGUCAAGUCAUCAUGGCCCUUACGGGAUGGGCUACACACGUGCUACAAUGGCGCGUACAAAGGGAAGCAAGCUAGCGAUAGUGAGCGGAUCUCAAAAAGCGCGUCGUAGCCCGGAUCGGAGUCUGCAACUCGACUCCGUGAAGUCGGAAUCGCUAGUAAUCGCGGAUCAGAAUGCCGCGGUGAAUACGUUCCCGGGCCUU
rnacentral:rRNA from 1 species